rnacentral:rRNA from 1 species
CGCUGGCGGUGCGCCUUAUGCAUGCAAGUUGAGCGAAGCUUUUUGGUAGUUUACUACUAGAAAUGACUGAGCGGCGAACGGGUGAGUAACGCGUGAGCAAUCUACCUUAGUUACUGGGAUAGCCCGAGGAAACUCGGAUUAAUACCGGAUAUUCUUACUUUUUCACAUGAAGUUUUAAGGAAAGGUCAGCCGAACUAAGAUGAGCUCGCGUUCUAUCAGCUAGUUGGUGGGGUAAAAGCCUACCAAGGCUACGACGGAUAGCUGGUCUGAGAGGACGAUCAGCCACACUGGGACUGAGACACGGCCCAGACUCCUACGGGAGGCUGCAGCAGGGAAUAUUGUGCAAUGAGCGAAAGCUUGACACAGCGACACCGCGUGUGGGAUGACGGUUCUAGGAUUGUAAACCACUUUCAGGAGGGAAGAAAAUGACGGUACCUCCACAAGAAGACCCGGCCAACUAUGUGCCAGCAGCCGCGGUAAUACAUAGGGGUCAAGCGUUGUCCGGAUUUAUUGGGCGUAAAGAGCUCGUAGGCGGUUCAACAAGUCGGUCGUAAAAGUUUAGGGCUCAACCCUAAAAUGUCGAUCGAUACUGUUGUGACUAGGAUACGGUAGAGGUGAAUGGAAUUCCGAGUGUAGCGGUGAAAUGCGUAGAUAUUCGGAGGAACACCAAUUGCGAAGGCAGUUCACUGGACCGUGAUCGACGCUGAGGAGCGAAAGCUAGGGGAGCAAACAGGAUUAGAUACCCUGGUAGUCCUAGCUGUAAACGAUGGAUACUAGAUGUAGGAACUGGAUUGACGGUUUCUGUAUCGUAGCUAACGCGUUAAGUAU